UAAAAAUAUAAUUACCAUAUGAUUCAGUAACUCCACUUCUAGGUAUAUAUCCAAAAUAAUUGAAAUCAGGGACUCAAAGAGAUAUCUGUAUACCCACAUUCUUAGCAACAUUAUUCACAUUAACCAAAAGGCAGAUGUAACCAACUGUCCAUCCAUGGUUGAAAGGAUAAACAAAAUGUGGUCUAUACAGGCAAUGGAUAUUCUUUGGCCCUAAGAAGGGAGGAAAUUGUGACACAUGCUACAACAUGAAUGAAACUUAAGGACAUCGUGCCAAGUGCUAUGCAUUUGCAAAAGGACAAAUGCUGUAUGAUUCCAUAUAUAUGAGGGAUCUAGAGUCAUCAAAUUCAUAGAGACAAAGAAUAGUGGUUGCCAGGAGUUUGUAUGAGGAAGGAGUGGGAAUGAUUGUUUAAUUGGUAUACUUUUAGUUUUGCUAAAUGAAAAGAUUUCUGUGGAUGGACAGCACCACAAAAAUGUGAAUACAUUUAAUGCCACUGAAAUGUACACUUAAAAAUGAUGAAGACGGUAAAUUUCAUAGUAUUUGUAUUUCACCACAAUUUAAAAAGCAAGAAUAGGAUUGAUUCCUUUUCUUCAAGCAAAACCGCUCCCCUUCUUGAGUUCUUCAGUUCUGUGAGUGGCACCAUUUUACUUCUAGCUGUCUAAGCCAGAAACCUGGCCUCAUCCUUGGUAUCGCCUUCUUCCUCUUUCAACCAACAUAGUCAUUCAAAAAUACUCACACAUGUGCUGGUGGUUCUCCUUGCAAAGUGCCUUGAGCCAGUCCUGAACACCGCAUCUCUGUUUCAGGGCACCUUCACAUCUCACCUAGAUUACUACAGCAACCCCCUUUUGGUCUUCUGUGUCUGGUCCUAAACAUUUCCAAUCUCUUCUCCACUUUGCAACACGAGUUCUCUUUCUUUAACAAGUGAAAAUCCAUGAUGUUCCCUCCCUUCUGAGUAACUUCAAUGGCUCUUUGUUGCCAUUAAAAUAAAGUCCAAAAUCCUUAACUGGGCUUAUAAUGUCCAUGAGCACUGGGCUCCUCACCACGUCCAUAGCCUGAGCGCUCAGUGUUCUGUGGCUUUCUGGUCAUUGGCCAUUCUGAAAACUUUCGGUUCUGGAACUUACCAUGUUAUCCCUCCUCUGGCUUUUAUACACCCUGUUCCUUCUCAGAACCACUUCUCCUCCUCCAUCCCAUCUGAACCUUCUUUGACCAGACAAUUUAUCUUAUUUACUCUAGGUCCUAGCUUGUUAAUCACUGAUUUCAGAAAUAUUUUUCUGAUCCAGGUCUGUGCUGGGAGCCUUCCUGGGUGAUCCUGUGUUUCCAUCAUUAAUCACUUUGAACACUGCAUUCUCAUUUGGCAGAAUGCUGAAGCCUUACUGGUCUGAGGUGUCAGAGGUCAGAGCCUGAGACUGACAGAGGAGCCACAGGUGACCAGCAAACUGCAGAAGCUCUGGGGAGAACUCCAUGGAGUCAGGCUAAAAACAGCAGCAACCAGAAACUGUAAGAACUGAGCAGAGAUACCAGCUGCACCACUAGAGAGACAAAGUGUGUAGCUCACUGCCUAGUACAGCAAAAUAGCCACAAUCCUCAGAAGGACACAACAGAAUCUGGAAUCACUAGAAAGUAUUAUCUACAAUGCUCAUUCUUAACCAUGCAAAGAAGAAACAGGAAAGUGUGAUUCAAAGUCAGAAAAAAGUCAGUCAAUAGAAAUCUACUCUGUUAGGGACAGGUGUUGGUGAAUUAAGUAAUUAGAGACUCUAAAGCAGCUAUGAUAAAUAUGUUCACAGAGGAAAGCUCAAUAGAGAAAUGAAACUUCAAACAUGGAAAUUUAAGACUUGAAAAGUACAAAAACUAGAAAGAAAAAUUUACUAGGUGGACCAAACGGCAGAUUAGAGAUGCCAAAAUUGCAUAAAUUGAACAGAGAUCAAAAGACGUUAUUUAAUCUAAAAAAUUGAAGAAAAAUGAGCAGAGCCUUAGAGUCCUGUAAAAUAUCAAGCAAGAUAACAUAUAUGUAAUUGGGUUCCGGAGGGAGAGAAGGAAUGGAAAAAAAUAUUUGCAUAAAUAAUGACUGAAAAAUUCCAUGAUUGGCAGAAAACACUAAUUUACAGAUCUAAGAAGGUCAAGCACCCCAAGCAGGAUAUAUAAUUAUAUCACUUCCAUGCAGAAGAGAAAUGCAGAAAGCCAAAGAUAAAGAGCAAAGUGUUGAAAGCAGCCAAAGAAAAGUGACACAUCACGUACAGGAAAAUAGUUCAGCUCAAUGGCUGAAUUUUCAUCAGAAAUACUGGCAUUCAGAAGAAAUUUAAAAAUGCUGAAAACAAAACUAGCAGCCAAGAAUUUUGUAUCAAGCAAAAAUGUCUUUUCAAAAUUAAAGGCAAAAGGAAGCAACUUCCAGAUAAAUUUAAAAGACAGAAUUUAUGCCAUUAUAUUUACACUGUAAGAAAUGCUAAAUGAGGUUCUUCAGGUUGAAGGGAAAUGACCCUGAUGACAACAUGGAUCUACAGGAAAAAAUGAAAAGCAUCAGAAAUCAUACAUAUGUGAGUAAAUAUAAAAUACUAAAUAUUGAUAGAUGAAUAUAUGGAUAGGUACUACACAAACACAUAUGAACAUAUAAUUCUUAAUAUCUUAACACAUGAUAUAGGACUCUUCAAAACAAAAAAUUAUUACAUUGUAUUGUUGGGUUUGUAAUGGACACAGAUAUAAAAUAUGUAACAAUAUUAAGAGUAGGAAAAGUAGAGAUACAUUGUUAAAAGGUUCUAGUAUUUUACUUGAAGUAGUUCAAUAUUAACUCUAGACUAUUAUAAGUUAAAGUUAAGUUGCGUAUUGUAAUCACUACAGCAACCACUAAAAAUAGAACAAAGAAAUACGGCAAAAAAGCCAAGAGACGAAUUAAAAUGUAACACUAAAGAAAAAAAAAAAACACUACGGGGGGCCGGGUGCAGUGGCUCAUGCCUGUAGUCCCAGCACUUUGGGAAGCCAAGGCAGGAGGAUCACCUGAGGUCAGGAGUUCGAGACUAGCCUGGCCAACAUGGUGAAACCCCUCCCCCCAACCAAAAAUACAAAAAUUAGCUGGAUGUGGUGGCACGUGCCUGUAAUCCCAGCUAGUUGGGAGGCUGAGUAGGAAAAUCACUUGAACCCAGGAGGCAGAAAUUGCAGUGAGCAGAGAUCGUGCCACUGCUCUCCAGCCUGGGUGACAGAGCAAGGCUCCAUCUCAAAAAAAAAAAAAAAAAUUAACACUACAAAAGGCAGGAAGAGAGGAACUGUGGAAUAAAACAGAUCAGACAAAUAUAAAUGGGAAGCUUAACUAUAACCAAAUCAAUAAUCAUAUGAUAAUUGAAAACUAAUCAAAAGGUAAUUAAGUGGAAACUGACAUAUUAAUAUGUGUUCAGUCCAUAUACAUAUAUUAUCUCUUUAGUUCCUUUUAAAAAGUGUUUUAUAUUUUUCAGUGUAUAGAUUUUGCAAAAAGUUUGGUAAAUUUAUCCCCAUGUAGUUCAUAUUUUAGGAAGGUAUUAUAAGUUCAAUUGUACUUUUGCUGUUUUGUUCAUUGCUCACAUAUAGAAAUAUGAUAAAUUUUUAUGUAUUGAACUUUCAUCCUUUGACCUCGAUAGAUCUAUUUAUUAGUUCUAGUAAGUUUCUGUAGUCUUCUUAAGAUUUUCUGUAUAAAUGGUCAUGCAAUCUGAAUAAAUACAGUUUUACGGCUUCCU
rnacentral:lncRNA from 1 species